rnacentral:rRNA from 1 species
UACGGAGGAUGCAAGCGUUAUCCGGAAUCACUGGGCGUAAAGCGCACGCAGGCGGAUUGAUAAGUCAGGGGUGAAAUCCCGGGGCUCAACCUCGGAAUUGCCUUUGAUACUGUCUGUCUUGAGUUCGGGAGAGGUUGGCGGAAUUCCUAGUGUAGAGGUGAAAUUCGUAGAUAUUAGGAAGAACACCAGUGGCGAAGGCGGCCAACUGGCCCGAUACUGACGCUCAUGUGCGAAAGCGUGGGGAGCAAACAGG